rnacentral:rRNA from 1 species
GGAGCAACGCCGCGUGAGGGACGAAGGCCUCUGGGCUGUAAACCUCUUUUCUCAAGGAAGAAGAUAUGACGGUACUUGAGGAAUAAGCCACGGCUAAUUCCGUGCCAGCAGCCGCGGUAAUACGGGAGUGGCAAGCGUUAUCCGGAAUUAUUGGGCGUAAAGCGUCCGCAGGCGGCUUUUCAAGUCUGCUGUUAAAACGUGGAGCUUAACUCCAUCAUGGCAGUGGAAACUGAAAGGCUUGAGUAUGGUAGGGGCAGAGGGAAUUCCCGGUGUAGCGGUGAAAUGCGUAGAUAUCGGGAAGAACACCAGUGGCGAAGGCGCUCUGCUGGGCCAUUACUGACGCUCAUGGACGAAAGCCAGGGGAGCGAAAGGGAUUAGAUACCCCUGUAGUCCUGGCCGUAAACGAUGAACACUAGGUGUCGGGGGAAUCGACCCCUUCGGUGUCGUAGCUAACGCGUUAAGUGUUCCGCCUGGGGAGUACGCACGCAAGUGUGAAACUCAAAGGAAUUGACGGGGGCCCGCACAAGCGGUGGAGUAUGUGGUUUAAUUCGAUGCAACGCGAAGAACCUUACCAGGGUUUGACAUCCUGCGAACCUCUUAGAAAUUUGAGGGUGCCUUCGGGAAUGCAGUGACAGGUGGUGCAUGGCUGUCGUCAGCUCGUGUCGUGAGAUGUUGGGUUAAGUCCCGCAACGAGCGCAACCCACGUUUUUAGUUGCCAGCAUUUAGUUGGGCACUCUAGAAAGACCGCCGGUGAUAAACCGGAGGAAGGUGUGGAUGACGUCAAGUCAUCAUGCCCCUUACACCCUGGGCUACACACGUACUACAAUGCUACGGACAAAGGGCAGCAAACUCGCGAGAGCUAGCAAAUCCCAUAAACCGUGGCUCAGUUCAGAUCGUAGGCUGCAACUCGCCUACGUGAAGUAGGAAUCGCUAGUAAUCGCA